GGCGACGAGGCACAGAUGGAUAUCAUGAUGGGCAUGCAGUCGACCACGGACUGCGUGCCCAUAAGCCACAUCGACGACCUCUGCCAUGCUGAGGUGUUCAUCGCCGAGAAUGAGUCCUCCUCGGGAAGAUACCUAUGCUGCAGUCACAACACCACCGUCUUGCAACUAGCUCGUCUCAUGGCGGAGAAGUACCCACAAUACAAUAUGAAACUUGGACGAUUUGAUGGGUCCCUAGAGAAGCCGAGAGUGUGUGUGUCGUCUGAGAAGCUCAUUGGGGAAGGGUUUGUGUUCAAGUACGAUGACCUGGGUGAGAUCUUUGACGACCUUGUCGAGUAUGGCAGGAUAACGGGGAUUUUACCAUAUUGAUAUGUACGUCAUAUGUUGAUCAAUAUUUG
rnacentral:rRNA from 1 species